GCAAGAAGGGGAGCGUCCAUUUACGAUUGAGCAGGCGCAAUGGUGGGAGCGGAUCCGAACUCCCUCUUCGGGCACUGCCCCGGACGAGUUGGGUGGAGAAGCCAGAGCACGCGGCGCCGGGGGCAGGGCAGCGCUCGCGGCAGUUCGGCGCCGGGUGCUUCGGGGGCAUCGAGCUCGCUUUCCGUCGGGCGGCCGACGUGACCCGAGUUACGAGGGCUUGUGAGCCGCGGGCGAAGAACCACUGCGAGGUGGUCCGGGUGCAGUAUGAUCCCCGCAACUGCAAGUACCAAGGAGCUCUUUAAUGUUUUCCGUGCGCGCUAUAAUCCUAUUAUCCUCAAUCGCCAGGUUAUUCGUGCGUGAUCAUUGAGUCAAUUUUCUUAGGGUCCAAUAACCAUUGUACAAAAGGAAAACAAAGUUGUUACGAUCUUGAAUACACUUCUACACGUGAGAACAGGGAAAAGCCCCUAUGAAAUAUUUAGAAAGUAACCAGAAGGUCAUGAACAGGAAUAUCAUGAAAGUAAGUCUUUCUGCAAGAAACAAAAUUUAGAAGUAUCAUGAGGAUUCAGGAGUAUGUUGAGAACAAUGGAUCCUUUGGUUAUAAACAGUCUGCAGCUAGAGGCUGCAAUGAACCUAUUGGCUGUGAUGGCUGAGAUGAACUACUAGUCCAUGAAAAUCUGCAAAAACUCGUGCUUUCCUGUUGAUAACCUGUACAAAGAUUUACAGUUCAUGGAUUCAAGUAUUUUCUUGACAAUCCUGACUGUGACAUAUGUAGCUUCUGAUAAUACACAUUCUGCCCCAUUGAUGCAAUACUUCUGGUUUUAUAUCUCUCCUUAUAGUAGGAGUUUGCAGCUCAGCUGCUCCAAAUUAGACAGAUGUCUCAUUAUAUCUGAUAUUUUGGCUAUUAUAUAUCUCCUAUUACUUUAUUCUUCAUGUGUCAGGAGUCCCCCAAAUUGACAACGUAAUGGACCUUGGCAUAUAGCAAACUAUCAUGUUCUUGAUUCUCUUGUUUAACAUGUUAACAAGUACUUCUCAGGUGCUCCUGAGAUUUCCUCAAAGUUUAUGCUGUCAUGAAGACAUCAUUACGAGUAAGCAUGCCUUUGUUUACUGGUAACUUUUAACGCAUGGGCCUUGCUUUUCUUUCAGCAUCUUCAUGGCAUCUAGCUACCUAUUAGCCUUUCAUAUGUCAUCUUGUAAAAUAUAGUAACCAAAGAUUAUUCUUAGAUGAGCUAGCAUUGAAAUGAUAUUCUGGGUUCUGUUUGGCUAUGAUGGUGUAUUGUGCUAAAGCAUUUGACUUCAGACUAGCUAUAUGGAAUUGUGUUUGGAGAAAAUUCUGGUAGUUGCUCGGGAGUCAAAUUUAGCAAAUAAUGAAAAGAAAGAAAAGAAAUGGUUUGCAUGUGACAUGGUCUAAUAAUUUGAAGCUAAAUGGGACUCAGUAGAUUGCAACAUUGAAACCUAUGUAGUUAUGGUCUUGGGUCAAAUGAAUGACAUCUUUCUUUUAGUCUGCUGCUUAAGUUAUUUCACCAAUGGAGUUAUAUCACUAUCAUGCUCACCAAAGCCUGUUUAAAUCUGGACCACUGCAACAACAAAUUGAAAUAUUUAUAGUAUUUGGGAUUGACUAGAUGAAUCUUCCAGCUAGUGAGUUCUACAUAGAUGAGUAUCUUACAGGCAAAUCAAAAGCAUUGAAGUUUCUUUUUCUUAUGUGUUCAUAGUUUGGAUUCAGACCUGCAUAAAAGCAUCAAAUUUGACAGUAUUCUCAGGAAGAAUAAAUUGUGGAGGUCUUCCUACCCCACAACCUCAUGCAUGCCAACCAAGAAAGUUGGUAGCCAAUGAUUACCCACCUACCAGUGAAUUCCAUGAUUGCCCUAAGGUGAAGCUUUGCUUUCGAUCUCUGCUGUUGGGUUAGCUUUUUGGCUGGGGAGCGUUACUGUGGUCCAUAAAAGAGGUCAGUCGAUUCAAAUCUUUUCUUGUGGAAGGUUUCUUUCUGCUUUCCUCAGAAUUUUUGCUUUCUCUGCUCUGAUAGAAAGAAAUCUUGAGUUCAACAUUUACCUAUGUUCUGCUGUAGAUGCCCUACUGUGGUAUAUGAAACUUCAAAGUUGCUCUUCCUCUCAGUAAACUAUGACCACUGCGAUUAAUACUUAUCAGAUGCAUUGGGCUUGCAUGAGAUCAAUUUUGCCGUACCAUUUGUUGACUCUUUGCAUGUUUUAUCUCAUCUCAAUAGUUCGAUCACUGUUGCAUGGGACUGGGCAUAGAAGAAUAUUUCGGGAAUAUAUGCAUGUUGGUUCCAAGUUAGAUCUAGACUGGUGAGGGGUGACAUUUUCCAUCUCUUUGGUGCAAAACACCAUAGUAACAUGAGACACUCAGUCAGCCGAUGAUAAUAAUAAAAGGUACAAUGAUCAUUUGCAUGUCAGUGGCUACAUGACCAUUGUCCAGAAUCCGAGGAGAGGAUUCGAGUCUUGGAAGAAAAAUAUAUUAAUAGGUUCUUACAUUUCUCUCCCUUCAAAAUUUGAUAAUAGUGCAUUUAUACUUGCAGAUUUUAGUAUAUAUAAAUAUAUGCUUUAAAUGUUAAUAUGUUCCAAGUCAUGAAAUG